AUUGUAAACGAAGUUUUUUGUCUCACGUUUCAAGGCACCGAACAGUUAACUCUUCAAUCGCUAUGAAUUUUGGCAAUAUACUCAAUUAGUUCUUCUGGAUCCGUACAUCUUAAACUGUAAUUGUACGAACCAAAUAACAAUUUUAGAAGAAAAAAAUGCUCGGCGAUGGUGGCGAAACCCCCUCAAGAUAUGAAUUAUUGAGUAUGGUGAAGAAGCACUCUAACUUAAUAGGGAAAACCGUUGUUGAAGAACAAGAUUCUUCCGAUGUUGAAAUGGAUAUGAAAUUUUGGCAUGAUGUCUUUGAUUUGUAUUUUGUUCGUGGUAAAGAAUCAAGGGGACGCCAAGAUGAUGAUCUCGUUUUCUUUGUUAGAAAAUUGGUUUCUCGAAGUUCUGGUUCAAAUAAUGAUUCAGAGAGUGUUGAUCCUUACUUUGUACGCAGGUGGGCACCCGAGUUGAGCAACUUAGUUGACGAGACUUCUAUAGACGUUGAUUGGAGGCGUUCAUUUUACUUGAAUUUAAUUGCUCAUACGUCUUUCAGUGUAACUGUUGCAAUUUGCAGUCACCAGGUUCUUCAGAAUCAUCAAGCUGGGAAAGAUACAUCUUUAUCCCCUAUAUAUAAGGUUGUGAAGACUGUUUAUGCAUCUCCAAGUCGUGUAAACUUUCAAUUGGACUCUAAAAAGGAAGUGGAAACUACACCUGCUUAUCCGGAUAUAUGCUUUGCAAUUGAUGAUUUUGACUCCACGUUUGAUGCUGUGGUUUUGACUGAAAAAGAUCAUUGCUAUUGUGUAGUUCUUAAUGCACAUGAUGGGGCAGCAUUUCCUAUUGAAGAGGUGUCAAACGAUUGCAGUACUAGUGAUAACUCCUCCCCGGAACUUUGUUUUGGUACUAAUUCUACUAAGAAAAAAGAUACUAAGCUUACCCUUUUCUCGGGAUUUGUCAGCUAUCAGAUGGUUAGAGAUGCAUAUGAUGCUGGAAAAUCUCGAUUUGGGAGCCUUUUAUCUGGAGGCCAUUAUCCUGGAAAAACUGAUAGGAUUUACAUGAAAGGUCCCGGAGGCCGAGGGGAAGUUGAAGUAGCUGUUUCUGGUGUUUCAGGUAUAUAUUGAGAGAUGGAUGAAAUGGAAUCUGUCUGUUGCAAUGUCAGAUCAAAGUCAGCAGGAUUCAGGCCCACCUUCUCCAGUUAUAUCGAAGAAAGGGUUUGGGAUUGGUGUAAUUGUCCGCAGAGCUGCAUCAGUUGCAUCAGUAGCAGCAAGGCAUGCUUAUGCUGCUGCCUCUGCCUCUAGCUCAAAUUUUGAUGAAAUGAUACCGUUGAAAUGCAGCUUAAUGUCCAUAUCGUUGCCCUGGGAAUAUAUAGCAUACGAUCUUCUGUUUAAGGGUGCUCCUCCAGUGAACAUGUGACCAUCUCAUGUAUUUCUGGGCGCAAAGAAAAUAGAAUCGGCGAUGAUGAGUUAUGAAAUUCAUUUCUGUUCUGAAAGCUCUUUCCGUUGCAUGCUGAACGUGCAUGUUUAGGAGUGUGCAUAUUUGGUGGUAGGGUGAAAAGUGCCGUGGAAAAUUCGUUGCAUCUGCUGGCUGCUUGAAAUGUUAAAUUAAUUGUUAUUUUUUUUUUAACUGGUUUCAUAAUAGGUUGUCUUCUAGUUUGUUUAAAUUGUAAUCAUUUGCAAAGAGAGGGUUAAAAUAUAAAUUAUAUGAUGAUACUUAUAUAUGAGCGAUGACCCUCAUCAUGGUAUCCUUUUCGGAUCUGGCUUGAGUCUCUGCAUUCAUGCAUUCGAGACAUUGACGGUCGUUCGAUUAAGAUUAGACAAUCUAAUUUUAAACUUGGCUAUUUUAAAUUAUUAUUAAAUUAUAAUUGGUA